CUUACAUGCAAGUCGAGCGGUAGCACAGAGAGCUUGCUCUCGGGUGACGAGCGGCGGACGGGUGAGUAAUGUCUGGGAAACUGCCUGAUGGAGGGGGAUAACUACUGGAAACGGUAGCUAAUACCGCAUAACGUCGCAAGACCAAAGAGGGGGACCUUCGGGCCUCUUGCCAUCAGAUGUGCCCAGAUGGGAUUAGCUAGUAGGUGGGGUAACGGCUCACCUAGGCGACGAUCCCUAGCUGGUCUGAGAGGAUGACCAGCCACACUGGAACUGAGACACGGUCCAGACUCCUACGGGAGGCAGCAGUGGGGAAUAUUGCACAAUGGGCGCAAGCCUGAUGCAGCCAUGCCGCGUGUAUGAAGAAGGCCUUCGGGUUGUAAAGUACUUUCAGCGAGGAGGAAGGCAUUGUGGUUAAUAACCUCAGUGAUUGACGUUACUCGCAGAAGAAGCACCGGCUAACUCCGUGCCAGCAGCCGCGGUAAUACGGAGGGUGCAAGCGUUAAUCGGAAUUACUGGGCGUAAAGCGCACGCAGGCGGUCUGUCAAGUCGGAUGUGAAAUCCCCGGGCUCA
rnacentral:rRNA from 2 species